rnacentral:rRNA from 1 species
AAAAACGGGAUUCCCUAGUACGGCGAGUGAAGAGGGAAGAGCCCAAGAUUGAAAGCUGGCGUCUUCGGCGUCCGCAUUGUAAUCUCAAGAAGUGUUUUCCGCUUCGGACCAUGCCUAAGUCCCUUGGAAAAGGGCAUCAUAGAGGGUGAUAAUCCCGUACAUGGCAUGGAGCGCCCGAAGCUUUGUGAUACGCUUUCUAAGAGUCGAGUUGUUUGGGAAUGCAGCUCAAAAUGGGUGGUAAAUGCCAUCUAAGGCUAAAUAUUGGGGAGAGACCGAUAGCGAACAAGUACAGUGAUGGAAAGAUGAAAAGAACUUUGAAAAGAGAGUUAAACAGUACGUGAAAUUGCCAAAAGGGAAGGGUAGGAGGUCAGAGAUGCGGCCUGGGAUUCAGCCUUGCUUUUGCUUGGUGUUUUUCCCAGUUUGCAGGCCAACGUCGGUUUUGGGCACUGGAGAAUGGUGGGAGGAACGUGGCACUCUUCGGGGUGUGUUAUAGCCUCCUACUGGAUACAGCGACCGGGACCGAGGACAGCAGCGUACUCGCAAGAGCGGGCCUUCGGGCACCUUUACGCUUAGGGCGUUGGCAUAAUGGCCCUCUACCACCCGUCUUAAAACCGGAGACC